rnacentral:rRNA from 1 species
GGGCCGAUAGUACGUACAUGCAGUCGAGCGGAACGGCAGCAUUGAAGCUUCGGUGGAUUUGUUGGACGUCAAGCGGCGGACGGGUGAGUAACGGCUGGGAACCUGCCCUGACGAGGGGGAUAACCGUUGGAAACGACGGCUAAUACCGCAUAAUGUCUUAGUUCAUUGAGCUGGGACCAAAGGGGGCCUCUACAUGUAAGCUAUCGCGUUGGGAUGGGCCCAGUUAGGAUUAACUAGUUGGUAAGGUAAUGGCUUACCAAGGCAACGAUCCUUAACUGGUUUGAGAGGAUGAUCAGCCACACUGGGACUGAAACACGGCCCAAACUCCUACGGGAGGCAACAGUGGGGAAUAUUGCACAAUGGGGGAAACCCUGAUGCAACCAUGCCGCGUGUGUGAAAAAAGCCUUCCGGUUGUAAAGCACUUUCAGCAGUGAGGAAGGGCGUGGACUUAAUAGGUGCACGGCUUGACGUUAGCUGCAAAAAAAACACCGGCUAACUCCGUGCCAGCAGCCGCGGUAAUACGGAAGGUGCGAGCGUUAAUCGGAAUUACUGGGCGUAAAGCGCAUGCAGGCGGUUUGUUAAGUCAAAAGUGAAAGCCCGGGGCUCAACCUCCGAACCGCAUUUGAAACUGGCAGGCUAAAAUCUUGUAAAAGGGGGUAGAAUUUCAGGUGUAGCGGUGAAAUGCGUAAAGAUCUGAAGGAAUACCAGUGGCGAAGGCGGCCCCCUGGACAAAGACUGACGCUCAGAUGCCAAAGCGUGGGUAGCAAACAGGAAUAGAUACCCUGGUAGUCCACGCUGUAAACGAUGUCUACUUGUGAGUUGAAGUUUUAGACUUUGGCUUUCGGCGCUUAC